UAUGAACGCUGGCGGCGUGCCUAAUACAUGCAAGUCGAGCGAACAGACGAGGAGCUUGCUCCUCUGACGUUAGCGGCGGACGGGUGAGUAACACGUGGAUAACCUACCUAUAAGACUGGGAUAACUUCGGGAAACCGGAGCUAAUACCGGAUAAUAUAUUGAACCGCAUGGUUCAAUAGUGAAAGACGGUUUUGCUGUCACUUAUAGAUUGAUCCGCGCCGCAUUAGCUAGUUGGUAAGGUAACGGCUUACCAAGGCAACGAUGCGUAGCCGACCUGAGAGGGUGAUCGGCCACACUGGAACUGAGACACGGUCCAGACUCCUACGGGAGGCAGCAGUAGGGAAUCUUCCGCAAUGGGCGAAAGCCUGACGGAGCAACGCCGCGUGAGUGAUGAAGGUCUUCGGAUCGUAAAACUCUGUUAUUAGGGAAGAACAAAUGUGUAAGUAACUAUGCACGUCUUGACGGUACCUAAUCAGAAAGCCACGGCUAACUACGUG
rnacentral:rRNA from 1 species